GAGGAUUAUACUGUCUCCCCCCCUAAAUCAAUGAAACUGAUCCCCCCGUGAAGAAGCGGGGAUAAAUAUAUAAGACGAGAAGACCCUAUGGAGCUUUAAACUCAACACCACUUACCUCAACUGACCCCCUUACAAACAGGUAAAGAUCGUGUAUGUUUUCAGUUGGGGUGACUGCGGAGCAAAAUAAAACCUCCACGAUGAAAAAUAACCUCUAAUCCAAGAACAACAUUUCAAAGAAUCAACAAAUUGACAUCAAUUGACCCAAAUAAUAAUUUGAUCAACGAACCAAGUUACCCUAGGGAUAACAGCGCAAUCCAUUUCAAGAGCUCAUAUCGACAAAUG
rnacentral:rRNA from 1 species